rnacentral:rRNA from 1 species
UGAGCAAUCUGCCCUUCUCAUCGGAAUAAGCGUUGGAAACGACGUCUAAUGCCGAAUACGACCUCCUUUCGCAUGAUCGGAGGUGGAAAGCUCCGGCGGAGAAGGAUGAGCUCGCGGCCUAUCAGCUAGUUGGUGUGGGUAACGGCCCACCAAGGCGACGACGGGUAGCCGGCCUGAGAGGGUGACCGGCCACACUGGGACUGAGACACGGCCCAGACUCCUACGGGAGGCAGCG